ACGUUCCCGGGCCUUGUACACACCGCCCGUCACACCAUGGGAGUUUGUUGCACCAGAAGCAGGUAGCUUAACCUUCGGGAGGGCGCUUGCCACGGUGUGGCCGAUGACUGGGGUGAAGUCGUAACAAGGUAGCCGUAUCGGAAGGUGCGGCUGGAUCACCUCCUUUCUAAGGAAG
rnacentral:rRNA from 1 species